AGUGAACGCUGGCGGCGUGCUUAACACAUGCAAGUCGAACGCGAAAGGGGAGCAAUCCCCGAGUAGAGUGGCGAACGGGUGAGUAAUGUGUGGGUAAUCUGGCUUUCAGAGGGGGAUAACCCGGGGAAACCUGGGCUAAUACCGCGUAACGUAUUUGACACCAAGGUGUUGGAUAUCAAAACAUGGGGAUCCGCAAGGACCUAUGGCUGGAAGGUGAGCCCACAUCCUAUCACGCUUGUUGGUGGGGUAAAGGCCUACCAAGGCGACGACGGGUAGCCGGCCUGAGAGGGUGUCCGGCCACACUGGAACUGAGACACGGUCCAGACUCCUACGGGAGGCAGCAGUGGGGAAUUUUUCGCAAUGGGCGCAAGCCUGACGAAGCAACGCCGCGUAGAGGAUGAAGGCCCUCGCGGUCGUAAACUCUUGUCUAGCGGGACGAAACUCUCAUGAAUGAAUAAUUCAUGAGAUUGACUGUACCGCUGGAGGAAGCUCCGGCCAACUCCGUGCC
rnacentral:rRNA from 1 species